ACCGGAAGUUGACGAAUGAUGGUCGAAGCUUGUGUGUAAAUGAACCAGUUCUAGCCACAAGCCCAGCUUGAACACACUUGUGGUAACAACAAAGGUUGUAGCCAAUAAUAUGAUAACACUAAUAAUAAUUACGUUUUUUACCAUCUUGAAUUUUAUAUAUCUAAUGACCU